rnacentral:rRNA from 1 species
UACGUAGGGCGCAAGCGUUGUCCGGAAUUAUUGGGCGUAAAGAGCUCGUAGGCGGUCUGUCACGUCUGCUGUGAAAACUCGGGGCUUAACCCCGGCCUGGCAGUGGGUACGGGCAGACUAGAGUGCGGUAGGGGAGACUGGAAUUCCUGGUGUAGCGGUGAAAUGCGCAGAUAUCAGGAGGAACACCGGUGGCGAAGGCGGCAUCCUGGACCAACACUGACGCUGAGGCGCGAAAGCGUGGGGAGCGAUCCGG